rnacentral:rRNA from 1 species
UACGGGGGGGGCAAGCGUUGUUCGGAAUCACUGGGCUUAAAGGGUGCGUAGGCGGCCAUGUAAGUGGGGUGUGAAAUCCCUCGGCUCAACCGAGGAACUGCGCUCCAUACUGCAUGGCUUGAGGGAGACAGGGGUAAGCGGAACUGAUGGUGGAGCGGUGAAAUGCGUUGAUAUCAUCAGGAACACCGGUGGCGAAAGCGGCUUACUGGGUCUCUUCUGACGCUGAGGUACGAAAGCUAGGGGAGCGAACGGG